AGUUAAGUGAAGAAGGGCGCACGGUGGAUGCCUUGGCACUAGGAGCCGAAGAAGGACGGGACAAACACCGAUAUGUCUCGGGGAGCUGUACGUAAGCAUUGAUCCGGGAAUUUCCGAAUGGGGCAACCCACUGCUCGUAAUGGAGCAGGACAUGUAUCUGAAUACAUAGGAUGCAUGAGGCAGACCCGGGGAACUGAAACAUCUAAGUACCCGGAGGAAGAGAAAGCAAACGCGAUUUCCUGAGUAGCGGCGAGCGAAACGGAAACAGCCCAAACCAGAAAGCUUGCUUUCUGGGGUUGU
rnacentral:rRNA from 1 species